AUACCUAUAACCUUAAUCUAUAACUUAUAAUCUAUCUAUAACUAUAUUUUAAUCCCUAAUCUCUUAUACACAUAGUAUAACCACAUCUAAUAACGUUAUUGCGCGCACUCAGUUUAUAAUCUUACAUAUUCACUGAAUAUUUUUUAAAAAAAUUGCAAUUAUACAAUUAAAAUUUAAUUCAAUAAAUACAAUUUAAAUCGUAUAGAAAGUCUACACAGAAAAAAU
rnacentral:lncRNA from 1 species